CCCUGGUUCCAGAGGUUUAUUUUUUCUCUCCCCUUCGCAAAGAAAAUAAUAAAAAUAAACCUCUGGAACCAGG
rnacentral:miRNA from 1 species